UCGAAUGGGGAGAUUCAUCGUCAACAACGCUGGCUCCCGUUGGUGCCGCGWUGCCCCGGAUGGGCCCUUUCGGGUUUCAUUAGCGAGGGCACGCCACCUUCGGCGAACGUUCCGGCGCGGUAGUCGUGCACUUCUCCCCUAGUAGAACGUCGCGACCCGUUGCGUGUCGGUCUACGGUCCGAGGCGGAGCCUGUCCGUCGCCUCAUGGGCGUUUCGYGACAGACCCUCGGUUUCCCGGCCGACUGCGCGACGGUACUCAGACGGUAUCGGGCCGCAACCAAUCCAUUUUCGAAUGUGUGUGCGUCAGGACCGCCGCAAGCUAGGUCCAGUUUUACCCGGAUGCACGGACUAUGCGCCGUCCCCGGGCCUGGCCAGCUGUUAGCAGGAGGAGUCCUUGGACUGGCCAAGCUUCGAAUUACCGGUCGGCGACGCUAUUGCUUUGGGUACUCUCAGGACCCGUCUUGAAACACGGACCAAGGAGUCUAACAUGUGCGCGAGUCAUUGGGAUAUUUGAAACCUAAAGGCGAAAUGAAAGUGAAGGUCGUCCUUUGCGACGACCUAGGGAGGAUGGGCCUCGUUACGAUUAGGCCUCGCACUCCCGGGGCGUCUCGUUCUCAUUGCGAGAUGAGGCGCACCUAGAGCGUACACGUUGGGACCCGAAAGAUGGUGAACUAUGCCUGGUCAGGACGAAGUCAGGGGAAACCCUGAUGGAGGUCCGUAGCGAUUCUGACGUGCAAAUCGAUCGUCGGAACUGGGUAUAGGGGCGAAAGACUAAUCGAACCAUCUAGUAGCUGGUUCCCUCCGAAGUUUCCCUCAGGAUAGCUGGCACUCGCUCGAACGCUUAUUUUUGCGAGUCUCAUCUGGUAAAGCGAAUGAUUAGAGGCCUUGGGGCCGAAACGACCUCAACCUAUUCUCAAACUUUAAAUGGGUGAGAUCUCUGGCUUGCUUGCAUCAAAUGAAGCCAUGAGAUUUUUUGGAUCAGAGUGCCAAGUGGGCCAAUUUUGGUAAGCAGAACUGGCGCUGUGGGAUGAACCAAACGCAGAGUUAAGGCGCCUAAGUCGACGCUUAUGGGAUACCAUGAAAGGCGUUGGUUGCUU
rnacentral:rRNA from 1 species